UUAAAAAGAAAAAUUCUGUGAAUUUGUAUCCUAAAAAUUUCAUAUCAAUGGGAGUGCUGUAUGUCUUGCGUUGGUAUUGGCGUGAAUUUGUUCUAACUUAAAAAUUUGGGUCUUAGGUUUAACUUUGAUAUUUCUUUUUUGAUCUGCAAGUUUGCUUUUCUGUUUAAUGAGAUUGCUAUGGCUUCUGGACAACUUUUGAGAUCACCGACAACUUCAAAAAAGAAGUCGACCACGUAAUGUAAUGAAGUCUCAGAUGCCGUAUUUGCAUACUCUUGAGAAAUAUGUAUCUAUGCAGGAUGUUUUGAAUGCUGGGAAAAAGGAUGAAAAGGAACUGACAAACACUGAAUUAGAAGAUAUAUUCAGAGAGGAAGAAAUUUCUGCUAAUUUGGAAUUUAGUAAGAUGAUAAAUUUAAUUACUGAUUUCCAUAACUCAUUGAGUCAUGAGAUAUCUGAGGUUAAACCAGG
rnacentral:lncRNA from 1 species